rnacentral:rRNA from 1 species
CCUACGGGUGGCUGCAGUGGGGGAUAUUGCACAAUGGGGGGAACCCUGAUGCAGCGACGCCGCGUGGGUGAAGAAGCGCCUCGGCGCGUAAAGCCCUGUCAGCAGGGAAGAAAAUGACGGUACCUGAAGAAGAAGCCCCGGCUAAAUACGUGCCAGCAGCCGCGGUAAUACGUAGGGGGCAAGCGUUGUCCGGAUUUACUGGGGGAAAAGGGCGUGUAGCCGGGCUGACAAGGCAGAUGUGAAAUCCGGGGGCUCAAACCCCGAACCGCAUUUGAAACUGGUGGUCUUGAGUAUCGGAGAGGCAGGCGGAAUUCCUAGUGUAGCGGUGGAAUGCGUAGAUAUUAGGAGGAACACCAGUGGCGAAGGCGGCCUGCUGGACGACAACUGACGGUGAGGCGCGAAAGCGUGGGGAGCAAACAGGAUUAGAUACCAGAGUAGUC